rnacentral:rRNA from 1 species
UGGGGAAUAUUGCGCAAUGGGCGAAAGCCUGACGCAGCGACGCCGCGUGAGGGAUGAAGGUCUUCGGAUCGUAAACCUCUGUCAGCAGGGGAAGAAAUUUUUAGUGUGCUAAUCAGCAUUAAAUUGACGGUACCUGCAAAGGAAGCACCGGCUAACUCCGUGCCAGCAGCCGCGGUAAUACGGAGGGUGCGAGCGUUAAUCGGAAUUACUGGGCGUAAAGCGCUCGUAGGUGGUAUGUCAAGUCAAGGGUGAAAUCCCCGCGCUCAACGUGGGAACUGCCUUUGAAACUGGCAGACUGGAGUGUGUGAGAGGAUAGUGGAAUUCCAGGUGUAGGAGUGAAAUCCGUAGAUAUCUGGAGGAACAUCAGUGGCGAAGGCGACUAUCUGGCACAUAACUGACACUGAGGAGCGAAGCGUGGGUAGCAAACAGGAUUAGAUACC